rnacentral:lncRNA from 1 species
CUUUUCAGUUCUGUCUUCCUGAGGCUGCUGUUUCUGGGCAUGGCCAGGGGAUCUUCAGACUUUACAAACCAGUUGUGCAGAGCCAGGCAUUUCAAUAAGGAACAAAAUGCUGAGUAACAACAUGAAGUCAGAGUGUUGCUUGCCAAGAGCUGGGAGGCCUGGGUGGUUUCCCAAUCUUAAAGAAGCAGAAGGAUAUUAAAGUGAGCCUCCCAAAGGAAAACGUGGAUCUACUUACCAACGCAGAAAAUGAUACACACGGAUUCGAUUUAGGCACGCUACAUUCAAAUGACUUGGAAGAGCAGGUUCUCUGAGCCAGGAUACUAAAGUCCCUGUUUAGGAAAGAGCCACGUUGUAUGUUUACCCUACCACAAAGAUACAGAAUUCUGGAGGAAAGUGGCUCUGGGAAUUGAACAGUGGCUCAGUGAUGUUGGGGCCACCAAGUCUGCAAUUCUCCCUACCUGUUCUUCAUGGUUGUAAGAUGACUGCUGCAAUUCUCGGCAUCAUGUGCAUGUUAAUGUCAGGAGGAAGAAAGGAAGAGGGAGCACUGGGAUGUUACAUUCAUUUUGUCAGGAAAAGCAAAGCCUUUCCAGACAGCUCCGAAACUUGCUUACCUCUCAUUGGCCAGCACCAUCACUUGACCACUUGUCCACUCCUAGCUGCAAGGAAAGUGGCAAAGUAGAAGGUAUUUGAGAAUGUCUGCUGGGUUAGCCAAAACAAUAGUGACUUCUACACCCAAUUUUCUGGGCACUGCAGAAGUAUCCUUGAGUCCUAUGUGAUCAGAGGGAGAGCAAACCUCAAUAAUGAAACAGAUUCAAUUUCCAUCACCCAGUGAGACACCAUGGGAUUAGAAUAAAUUUUUAAAAAAACAAAUUGAAAAAAAUGCAUUUUUAAAACAACAAAAUCAGAAAGGAUGAAAGGUGAUAUUUCUAGCAUAUCAGUUUGUGGUGGUAAAUUAAUUACCUUAUACAAAGGCCUCAGUGACUUUCUUCUCCUUACCUAACGAAUCAUCUUUAAAAUAAGUAAAAUAAAGAAACAAGAGCAGCAGCAGAUGCUUCCUAAAAAGAAGUUACCAAAUCUGUUCACCACAAACCUGAGAAUUCAACUGUGGACAUUUGGACACCAGCAAUGAACAUGAAACUCAGCUUAUGAGGCAUAUUUGGCUAAAGGUCAAGGUGACUUAAAGUUCAUCAUAGGACAUCUACAAUUUGCAAAGCAGGUGACUGGAUAUGGACUCCUUCCAAGUCUCAUUUAAUUGGAUAAUGCCUACGUUUUAAGUAUCAGAAAGGGACCAUAAAGGUGCCAGCCUAAGGAACACGUAAAACGUGGGAACAGACAAACAAGCUGCUGCCUAUUACAGAGAUAGAUAAUUAACUUUGGACCAUUACAUGCAAUUCAUCAGCUUAUCUUUUUCAAACUUUAUAUAAGAAGUCAUUUCCCAAUGGUAACCACUUGCCAGCUGCAACUUUGACGCAUAUUAUCAGGAUAGGUGAGAUUGAUGGGGGCCCUUUGAACUCUUCCCAGGGAAUUAUCUUUAUAAUGUUACAGUUUUCUCUAUAGCAUGGUCAUAUUGUUAACAUUGGUUAUAAGGUCAUAUGGUUAGUAUGGUUAGUAUUGGUGGCUCACAGCUGUAAUACCAGCACUUUGGGAGGCCAAGGUGGGAGGAUCACUUGAGCCCUGGUGUUCAAAACCAGCUCUGGAAACAUAGCAAGACCUUGUCUCUACAAAAAAAAAUUAAAUAAAUUAAAAGAUUAGCUGGGCAUGGUGGCACAUGCCUGUAGUCCUCACUACUUGGGAAACUAAGGUGGGAGGAUCCUUUGAGCUUGGGAGGUUGAGGCUGCAGUGAGCUGUGGUUGUGCCAUGGCACUCCAGCCUGGGUGACAGAGUGAGAGCCUGUCUCAAAAAAAAAAAAAAAAAAAAAAAAAA